CCACCCGCCCCACCCUCCGGCCCCGCGCCCCGCCCCGGGCUCGUCUCAUUGGUCUCGUUCCCUUCAGAACCGCCCUCAUCGGCCGCCCUCCACUCUCACGGGGGCGGGCCCAAAGUCACUAGAGUUUUGCUCCUGGGACGGGACGUCCGAGAGGUACGCUCCAAUUUCCAGUUUCUGUGGAAAUUCAAUAGAGAGAUAAAUGUUGUUUUCAUCAAGUGUUUGUACCAGCUAUUAUUUCUUCCUGAAAAACAAACAAGCAAGACCAAGAAAUUCUCGAGUUCUCUUCAGAGACCAACUGGGGAUCAACAAUUCAAUUUAAUUCUGACACCCAAGCUUUUGGUUCCAGAGGGCCAUAGUCUUCAUAUACUUCAGCACUCCAUGAAGGCUUUCUUGGUACUGUUCAAAGGCCAGAGGAUCUACUACCACAGAACCAUUCUAGAUGUGAGUUCCUAGUGUGAAAGGACUGGGAGUUAACAGAAGAGCCGCAAUGGUUGUUUCGAGAGCGAUUUAAACAGUUAAUACAUGCGCUUAAAAUCGUCAGGCCACAGGUAAGUGAUAUCAUUAUCAUAGGUGUAAAAUUAUCUUUCAAAGUGAAUCCCAAAAUAUUCUCCAUUGUAAUUUUGAAGUUUCUAAAUCUGUAAUUUAAAGAUAAAAUACUUUAAAUAAUCUCUGUCACACAUCGUGCAAAAGAGAAACAGCAAUUACGAUCAGCAAAGAACAGACCCAGUAAAUAGCCAAGAGGGCUACAAUCUGAGGAAUAGGUCUUUGCAACCGGUGAAGUGACUGAUCCAUGCUUCCCUGCAGCACAACAACGGAGGUGUCAGGGUUAAUUAUUGUAAACUAUCUAGUGGUUCAAAUCCAAUUUUAAAUGGUCUGGAUGUGUAUAAGGCUCUGAAUUUUAAUUUGUCUUUGAAAAAGUACUAUCUCAAUUUUUAAAAUCCCCCUGAGCUCUGUGACUCAUACCACCAGAAAUCUGACCUUUCAACCAAAGGGGGAAAAAUCUAAGUUGUUACCUUGACAACAAAAGGUAAGCAGGAUGCUUUGAGCUCUGGCGCUUCUGCUAUAAAUAAUCCAUCUUUGGCCAAAGAAAUAUAACAUGAGCAUGGAGGGGAAUAACCUGGAUUGGCUAUGGGAACAGUCUGCAUUUCAGGAGAUCAUUUUAAUCACAACUUUUAGGAAUCAUUCCCAGAGGCACUUUUGUGGCAAUUAACCAAGAAAUCAAUAAGAAGGAAUGAAUUCAAUUUCUAAAACGGAAUUUACACAAAUCAAGACUGAUAAUGCUUUUUCAUGUGAGAAAUUUCUCUGUAUGUAUUUGUACCGUUGUCUAACUUCUGUUGUUUUUCUUUAAAAUAAUUGUUCUCUGGUUUCCCAACAACCUCUAAACCAGAACAAAGAGAUGCUAACAAUGAACUUUGGUCCUUUAGCUGUAAUUUACACGGUCUUACCCUACACAGUAGCAGGAAAGAAGCAGCAAUAAAGUUGGAGGACUUUUAUAACGUUGUGGAUUUUUUUUUUUUAAAUAAGAAAUCAAAGUCCUCUUUUGGUAGAAAGUCACAAUAUACUAUUGAAUUUUUUUAACCCAGCUGUACACAUGGAUAGAUUUAAGAUUUAUAGUUGUGAUUAUCCUUUUGCUUGCUGACGUAAAUUAGUCUUCUGGGAAGUCCAAGUUAUUUCUCAAUAAGCUGUAAUAGUCUGUGAGUCAGAGUAGGUGCUGCUGAUGAGUCUUGCAGGAUUUAUAGGAAGGCAACUGAGAAAUUGAGGGGCACAUUCAUCCAAUGGCCUUUGGAAAUAGUGCAUAAAAAUAUUUCCUGAAUAAGAGUCUUUGCUCCAGUAGA